rnacentral:rRNA from 1 species
GACGAACGCUGGCGGCGUGCUUAACACAUGCAAGUCGAACGGAAAGGCCCUGCUUUUGUGGGGUGCUCGAGUUGCGAACUGGUGAGUAACACGUGAGUAACCUGCCCUUGACUUUGGGAUAACUUCAGGAAACUGGGGCUAAUACCGGAUAGGAUCUCCUGCUGCUUGGUGGGGGUUGGAAAGUUUCGGCGGUUGGGGAUGGAUUCGCGGCUUAUCAGCUUGUUGGUUGGGUAGUGGCUUACCAAGGCUUUGACGGGUGGCAGGCCUGAGAGGGUGACCGGCCACACUAGAAUUGAAAUACGGCCCAGACUACUACGGGACGCAGCAGUGCAGAAUAUUGCACAAUGGGCUGAAGCCUGAUGCAGUCAAGCCGCGCGCGGGAUGUCAUCAAUCGGGUUGUAAACCGCUUUCGCCUGUCACGAAGCGUGAGUGACGGUAAUGGGUAAAGAAGCUCCGGCUAACUCCGUG